rnacentral:rRNA from 1 species
UAAUACAGAGGUCUCGAGCGUUAGGCGGAAUCACUGGGCUUAAAGCGUGUGUAGGCGGGUCGUUAAGUGCCUUGUGAAAUCCCAUGGCUCAACCAUGGAACUGCUGGGCAUACUGGCGAUCUUGUGCCACCUAGGGGCGAGCGGAACAGAUGGUGGAGCGGUGAAAUGCGUAGAUAUCAUCUGGAACGCCAAUGGUGAAAACAGCUCGCUGGGGGUGUGCAGACGCUGAGACACGAAAGCCAGGGGAGCGAACGGGAUUAGAUACCCCGGUAGUCCUGGCCCUAAACGAUGUCGACUAGAUCGUAGUGCCUCUGACGGUAUUACGGUCGAAGCAAAAGUGCUAAGUCGACCGCCUGGGAAGUACGGUCGCAAGGCUA